CUACGGGGCGCUCCAGUGGGGAAUCUUGCGCAAUGGGCGAAAGCCUGACGCAGCCACUCCGCGUGGAGGAUGAAGCAUUAAGGUGUGUAAACUCCUUUUUUGGGGGAAGACGACUGACGGUACCCCAAGAAUAAGGGACGGCUAACUACGUGCCAGCAGCCGCGGUAAUACGUAGGUCCCAAGCGUUAUCCGGAUUUACUGGGCGUAAAGCGUCCGAAGCCGGUUUAGUAAGUUCGUUUUCAAAUCCUGGGGCUCAACCCCAGAAAGGGAGCGAAUACUGCUUUACUAGAGAAAUGUAGGGGUUAGUAGAAUUUCAGGUGGAGGGGUGAAAUCCGUUGAUAUCUGAAGGAAUACCGAAAGCGAAGGCAGCUAACUAUACAUUUUCUGACGGUCAUGGACGAAAGCGCGGGUAGCAAACGGGAUUAGAUACCCCAGUAGUC
rnacentral:rRNA from 1 species